CACGUAGGGGGCAAGCGUUGUCCGGAUUUAUUGGGCGUAAAGAGCUCGUAGGUGGUUCGGUAAGUCGGGUGUGAAACCUCCAGGCUCAACCUGGAGACGCCACCCGAUACUGCUGUGACUGGAGUCCGGUAGGGGAGCGUGGAAUUCCUGGUGUAGCGGUGAAAUGCGCAGAUAUCAGGAGGAACACCGGUGGCGAAGGCGGGUCUCUGGGCCGAUAUUGACGCUGAGGAGCGAAAGCGUGGGGAGCGAACAGG
rnacentral:rRNA from 1 species